rnacentral:rRNA from 1 species
CCUACGGGUGGCAGCAGUGGGGAAUAUUGGACAAUGGGCGAAAGCCUGAUCCAGCCAUGCCGCGUGUGUGAAGAAGGCCUUCGGGUUGUAAAGCACUUUCAGUGGGGAAGAAAGCCUUGGGGCUAAUACCCUCGAGGAAGGACAUCACCCACAGAAGAAGCACCGGCUAACUCCGUGCCAGCAGCCGCGGUAAUACGGAGGGUGCGAGCGUUAAUCGGAAUUACUGGGCGUAAAGCGCGCGUAGGCGGUCUGAUAAGCCGGUUGUGAAAGCCCCGGGCUCAACCUGGGAACGGCAUCCGGAACUGUCAGGCUAGAGUGCAGUAGAGGAAGGUAGAAUUCCCGGUGUAGCGGUGAAAUGCGUAGAGAUCGGGAGGAAUACCAGUGGCGAAGGCGGCCUUCUGGACUGACACUGACGCUGAGGUGCGAAAGCGUGGGUAGCAAACAGGAUUAGAUACCCUGGUAGUC